rnacentral:rRNA from 1 species
UACGUAGGGGGCAAGCGUUGUCCGGAUUUAUUGGGCGUAAAGAGCUCGUAGGUGGUUCGGUAAGUCGGAUGUGAAAUCUCCAGGCUCAACCUGGAGGGGUCAUUCGAUACUGCCGUGACUAGAGUUCGGUAGGGGAGUGUGGAAUUCCUGGUGGAGCGGUGAAAUGCGCAGAUAUCAGGAGGAACACCAGUGGCGAAGGCGGAACUCUGGGCCGAUACUGACGCUGAGGAGCGAAAGCGUGGGGAGCGAACAGG